rnacentral:lncRNA from 1 species
CCUACUUCGGCUCAGGUCAUGAUCUCGUGGUUCGUGGGUUCGAGUCCCACGUCGGGCUCUGUGCUGACAGCUCAGCUCUGUGCUUCGGAUUCUGUGUCUCCCUCUCUCUCUGCCCCUCCCCCUCUCGGGCUCUGUCUCUCUCUCGAAAAUUAAUGAAGCACAAUUUUUUUUAUUAUUAUUAAAAAGAAACGGAGAGAAAGAAGUGUGCAUCAGAGGGAACCACGCAGCGAAAAAUGGCGAAAACGUACUGAGUAUUCAGUGGAUUCGACACUGAGUAUUAACCCACUGCAGACACCAUGUGAAUGGUACCCCCCGGUCCUCAGGACAAACCCAGGGAGAAAAUUCUAGAGCUACAAAAACUGCAUCUUGGGGCGCCUGGGUGGCUCAGUCGGUUGAGCGUCCGACUUCGGCUCAGGUCACGAUCUCAUGGUUCGUGAGUUCGAGCCCCGCGUCGGGCUCUGGGCUGAUGGCUCAGAGCCUGGAUCCUGCUUCCGAUCCUGUGUCUCCCUCUCUCUCUGCCCUUCCCCCAUUCAUGCUCUGUCUCUCUCUGUCUCAAAAAUAAAUAAACAUUAAAAAAAAAAAAACUGCACCUUGGGAAGGCUGACGAUCUACCAAGGUCCCUCAGGAAGCAAGUGCAGAAAAUAUGUUGAGUUCGCGUCUUCCUGCCCCUAAAAUCAGUGUUCUCAACCCCCGUGGCAUUCUGCUGGCAGAAGUUUCUCCGUUCAAGAGGCUUUCUGAUGGUGCCUUAGAAGGAUCCAGAGGAACCAUGGACCCUCAGCGCGAUGCAGUGAAGUCCUCUUUGGGGUUUAUGGGAUCACACCAGCCCACUGCUGUCCACCAACCCAUCAUGGAGGUUGAAUGCUGCACAACAACCCGAAAUCAGGAAAUCGGGUCCGGCCAGUGGUCUACUGGGGGCCGGAGAGCAGGUUCGCUUUCUUCACACAACACACACAAUCACUCUGGAAACCCUCUCGGUGGAGGAGGUUUCAUCUUGGAGGAGAAAUGUGGACAUCGUUUCUGCCCACCAGGACAGUUCUGGUGGAGGGCCACACCAGGAUCUGAAAAGGUGAAAGAGGUGAUGUGCAGGAUGUAAAAUAAAUGUCAUCAAAAAAGAACA